GAUGAAGAACGCAGCGAAAUGCGAUAAGUAGUGUGAAUUGCAGAAUUCAGUGAAUCAUCGAAUCUUUGAACGCACAUUGCGCCCUUUGGUAUUCCAAAGGGCAUGCCUGUUCGAGCGUCAUUUGUACCCUCAAGCUUUGCUUGGUGUUGGGCGUCUUGUCUCUAGCUUUGCUGGAGACUCGCCUUAAAGUAAUUGGCAGCCGGCCUACUGGUUUCGGAGCGCAGCACAAGUCGCACUCUCUAUCAGCAAAGGUCUAGCAUCCAUUAAGCCUUUUUUUCAACUUUUGACCUCGGAUCAGGUAGGGAUACCCGCUGAACUUAAGCAUAUCAAUAAGCGGAAGGA
rnacentral:misc_RNA from 1 species